UACAGAGGGUGCAAGCGUUAAUCGGAAUCACUGGGCUUAAAGCGUUCGUAGGCGGGCUUGCAGGCGCGUUGUGAAAGCCCCCGGCUCAACCGGGGAACUGCUUCGCGGAACCGCAAGUCUUGAGUCAAGUAGGGGCGGUCGGAACGAUAGGUGGAGCGGUGAAAUGCGUAGAUAUCUAUCGGAACGCCAAAGGUGAAGACAGGCCGCUGGGCUUGUACUGACGCUGAGGAACGAAAGCGUGGGGAGCAAACGGG
rnacentral:rRNA from 1 species